AGGGGAGUGAAAAAGAACCUGAAACCGUGUACGUACAAGCAGUGGGAGCACGCUUAGGCGUGUGACUGCGUACCUUUUGUAUAAUGGGUCAGCGACUUAUAUUCUGUAGCAAGGUUAACCGAAUAGGGGAGCCGAAGGGAAACCGAGUCUUAACUGGGCGUUAAGUUGCAGGGUAUAGACCCGAAACCCGGUGAUCUAGCCAUGGGCAGGUUGAAGGUUGGGUAACACUAACUGGAGGACCGAACCGACUAAUGUUGAAAAAUUAGCGGAUGACUUGUGGCUGGGGGUGAAAGGCCAAUCAAACCGGGAGAUAGCUGGUUCUCCCCGAAAGCUAUUUAGGUAGCGCCUCGUGAAUUCAUCUCCGGGGGUAGAGCACUGUUUCGGCAAGGGGGUCAUCCCGACUUACCAACCCGAUGCAAACUGCGAAUACCGGAGAAUGUUAUCACGGGAGACACACGGCGGGUGCUAACGUCCGUCGUGAAGAGGGAAACAACCCAGACCGCCAGCUAAGGUCCCAAAGUCAUGGUUAAGUGGGAAACGAUGUGGGAAGGCCCAGACAGCCAGGAUGUUGGCUUAGAAGCAGCCAUCAUUUAAAGAAAGCGUAAUAGCUCACUGGUCGAGUCGGCCUGCGCGGAAGAUGUAACGGGGCUAAACCAUGCACCGAAGCUGCGGCAGCGACGCUGAUGCGUUGUUGGGUAGGGGAGCGUUCUGUAAGCCUGCGAAGGUGUGCUGUGAGGCAUGCUGGAGGUAUCAGAAGUGCGAAUGCUGACAUAAGUAACGAUAAAGCGGGUGAAAAGCCCGCUCGCCGGAAGACCAAGGGUUCCUGUCCAACGUUAAUCGGGGCAGGGUGAGUCGACCCCUAAGGCGAGGCCGAAAGGCGUAGUCGAUGGGAAACAGGUUAAUAUUCCUGUACUUGGUGUUACUGCGAAGGGGGGACGGAGAAGGCUAUGUUGGCCGGGCGACGGUUGUCCCGGUUUAAGCGUGUAGGCUGGUUUUCCAGGCAAAUCCGGAAAAUCAAGGCUGAGGCGUGAUGACGAGGCACU
rnacentral:rRNA from 1 species